UCGUGGCCUUUUAGAAAGUAAAAGAUCCGGGGAGUGAAUUUUGGAGCGCGCGUGAUCUGCGUUCAGGUCCGAGCACCGGUAGUCAGCGUUGAUCGAGUUUGGGGAAUUUCUGGUCUGGAGACAGGAGUGAGCACACAGCGUUUUGUACUAUUUCAGUCUCCAUCUAUUUAUAUAAAGACUUGUCUUUUACUUUUCGAGACAGUCUAGUUUUGGUGGUCCACUGUUGGGACUUGUACUCGUUUUGUUGGUAGCUCUGUAUUAGUGACUUCCAGGUUCUGGGAGGGAUCCUUUAUUGUAUUUAUGUUUUGGUUUGCUUA